rnacentral:rRNA from 1 species
GGUGAACGCUGGCGGCGUGCUUAAGACAUGCAAGUCGAACGGGCACUUCGGAGCCUGUGGCGCACGGGUGAGUAACGCGUCGCUUACCUACCACAAAGACGCGGAUAACGAUUCGAAAGAAUCACUACUACGAGAUGUGCUGUAAGAUCCUGUUCUGCCUGUAACGCUUUAUUGCUUUGGGAUGGGGUUGCGUUCCAUCAGCUAGUUGGUGGGGUGAACGCCAACUAAGGCGACGACGGAUCGCCGGUCUGCGAGGGUGGCCGGCCACAGGGGCCCUGAGACACGGGGGACACACCAGCGGGAGGCAGCAGGUAGUAAUCGUCAACAAUGCGCGAAAGCCUGAUGGAGGGACGCAGGGUGAGGGAUGAGGGACUCCGGAUUGUAAGCCGCGGACAAAGGUACGAAAGACGCGAAAGCGGGAUGACGGUACCUGAGUAAUAGCACCGGCUAACUACGUG